rnacentral:rRNA from 1 species
GCAGGGACGAAGCGCAAGUGACGGUACCUGCAGAAGAAGCACCGGCCAACUACGUGCCAGCAGCCGCGGUAAUACGUAGGGUGCGAGCGUUGUCCGGAAUUACUGGGCGUAAAGAGCUCGUAGGCGGUUUGUCGCGUCGUCUGUGAAAUCCCGCAGCUCAACUGCGGGCUUGCAGGCGAUACGGGCAGACUCGAGUACUGCAGGGGAGACUGGAAUUCCUGGUGUAGCGGUGAAAUGCGCAGAUAUCAGGAGGAACACCGGUGGCGAAGGCGGGUCUCUGGGCAGUAACUGACGCUGAGGAGCGAAAGCGUGGGUAGCGAACAGGAUUAGAUACCCUGGUAGUCCACGCCGUAAACGGUGGGCGCUAGGUGUGGGUUUCCCUUCCACGGGAUCCGUGCCGUA